GGUUAAGUUAGAAAGGGCGCACGGUGGAUGCCUUGGCACUAGGAGCCGAUGAAGGACGGGACGAACACCGAUAUGCUUCGGGGAGCUGUAAGCAAGCUUUGAUCCGGAGAUUUCCGAAUGGGGAAACCCACUGCUCGUAAUGGAGUAGUAUCCAUACUUGAAUACAUAGAGUAUGAGAAGGCAUACCCGGGGAACUGAAACAUCUAAGUACCCGGAGGAAGAGAAAGCAAAUGCGAUUCCCUGAGUAGCGGCGAGCGAAACGGGAACAGCCCAAACCAAGAGGCUUGCCUCUUGGGGUUGUAGGACACUCUAUACGGAGUUACAAAGGAAUGAUAUAAGCGAAGAGGUCUGGAAAGGCCCGCCAAAGAAGGUAACAGCCCUGUAACUGAAAUGUUAUUCUCUCCAGAGUGGAUCCUGAGUACGGCGGAACACGUGAAAUUCCGUCGGAAUCCGGGAGGACCAUCUCCCAAGGCUAAAUACUCCCUAGUGACCGAUAGUGAACCAGUACCGUGAGGGAAAGGUGAAAAGCACCCCGGAAGGGGAGUGAAAUAGAUCCUGAAACCGUGUGCCUACAAGUAGUCAGAGCCCGUUAACGGGUGAUGGCGUGCCUUUUGUAGAAUGAACCGGCGAGUUACGAUCCCGUGCAAGGUUAAGCAGAAGAUGCGGAGCCGCAGCGAAAGCGAGUCUGAAUAGGGCGCAUGAGUACGUGGUCGUAGACCCGAAACCAGGUGAUCUACCCAUGUCCAGGGUGAAGUUCAGGUAACACUGAAUGGAGGCCCGAACCCACGCACGUUGAAAAGUGCGGGGAUGAGGUGUGGGUAGGGGUGAAAUGCCAAUCGAACCUGGAGAUAGCUGGUUCUCUCCGAAAUAGCUUUAGGGCUAGCCUCAAGGUAAGAGUCUCGGAGGUAGAGCACUGAUUGGACUAGGGGCCCCUACCGGGUUACCGAAUUCAGUCAAACUCCGAAUGCCGAUGACUUAUCCUUGGGAGUCAGACUGCGAGUGAUAAGAUCCGUAGUCGAAAGGGAAACAGCCCAGACCGCCAGCUAAGGUCCCAAAGUAUACGUUAAGUGGAAAAGGAUGUGGAGUUGCUUAGACAACCAGGAUGUUGGCUUAGAAGCAGCCACCAUUUAAAGAGUGCGUAAUAGCUCACUGGUCGAGUGACUCUGCGCCGAAAAUGUACCGGGGCUAAACGUAUCACCGAAGCUGCGGACUGUUCUGACGAACAGUGGUAGGAGAGCGUUCUAAGGGCUGUGAAGCCAGACCGGAAGGACUGGUGGAGCGCUUAGAAGUGAGAAUGCCGGUAUGAGUAGCGAAAGACGGGUGAGAAUCCCGUCCACCGAAUGCCUAAGGUUUCCUGAGGAAGGCUCGUCCGCUCAGGGUUAGUCGGGACCUAAGCCGAGGCCGAAAGGCGUAGGCGAUGGACAACAGGUUGAUAUUCCUGUACCACCUCCUCACCAUUUGAGCAAUGGGGGGACGCAGGAGGAUAGGGUAAGCGCGGUAUUGGAUAUCCGCGUCCAAGCAGUUAGGCUGGGAAAUAGGCAAAUCCGUUUCCCGUAAAGGCUGAGCUGUGAUGGCGAGCGAAAUUUAGUAGCGAAGUUCCUGAUUCCACACUGCCAAGAAAAGCCUCUAGCGAGGUGAGAGGUGCCCGUACCGCAAACCGACACAGGUAGGCGAGGAGAGAAUCCUAAGGUGAUCGAGAGAACUCUCGUUAAGGAACUCGGCAAAAUGACCCCGUAACUUCGGGAGAAGGGGUGCUUCUUAGGGUGUUAAAGCCCCGAGAAGCCGCAGUGAAUAGGCCCAGGCGACUGUUUAGCAAAAACACAGGUCUCUGCGAAGCCGUAAGGCGAAGUAUAGGGGCUGACGCCUGCCCGGUGCUGGAAGGUUAAGAGGAGCGCUUAGCGUAAGCGAAGGUG
rnacentral:rRNA from 1 species